GGUAGACUGGGUAUUUCUUCUCUCUGUGUGUCAUGUUGUCAGCUAGGACACUGAGGUGGCCGCCAUCAUCUGGGAGCCAGGCUGAGAGCUCUGCUGGGCUCUGAUGUCUCUCGAGUGGCUGACGUCAUCCCCAGGCUCUACUGGGACCUCAGCUGGAGCUGUUGGCUGCAGUCUGCUCCAUGGGGCCUUUCCAUGUAGUUUCUUAGGUGCCCGUAACAUGGCAGAUGGAUUUCAAGAGGGAGCACUCCAAGAGGACAGGUCUCAGGAGCAAGCACUUAAAAACUUUUGCUUGCAUCUCACUUGCUGGAGCCCUCUUAGGCAUUGCUAAUCACAUGACCAAACCCAAAGGCAUCAUGGGAGGGGUUUCCCAGGCUGCGAAUGCUGGGAGAUGCACUUCUUUGGGGGUUGCCAAAGCACAGCCUCCUAUAGCAGGUAAAGCAGGUAUUGGCAAAGCUUAUACCAGUUUAAUGUUCUCAACAAGAGCAUGUGAGAGUGUGCGGGUUCUCACCCCCCUUACUAAGAAUGAUCAUUGUCCAUCAUGUUAACAUUGGCCAAUCAGAUGGAAGGGGGAAGGCCUCAUUACUGUUUACCUUGGAUUCAUUCCAUUAUUAGUGAACUCACACAUCUUUUCAUAUGUUGAUUGACCAUUUAUUUUUCUUUUAUGAAUGUUCAUUUAUGUGUUUGCCCAUUUUUAAUUUGGUUGUUGCUUUUCCUGUUGAUUUUUUUAAAUUUCCUUGUGAAUUAGAGAAAAGCUAUUUAAUUAUGCCACGUGAUUUCUGUCUAUCUCUGUUUUCACAUCUACAAAAUAGAAAGUAACUUCAAAACUGGUUCUACCACAGGUUGAUGUGAGAUCAAAUAGAUAAAACAGGUGAAAGCACGUUGCAAAGGAAAAUACUUGAUGCCGGCAUUGGCCCCUCUCUACCAGCCUAACAAAAUGUAUCUGCUCACGAAAUCUUAACCAGCUUUUGCUUCACAUAACAUAAAAGUAACUAUCAUAGGAUGGAGAAAGGUAGCAAUACUGUAUAACGAUGAAAAUUUAUAUUAAAAUGUUUAAUUUGCCUUCAGGCUAGUUUCUGGACUGAACACAAUUUCCUUCAGGCUCUGAGCUGAUGCUAAUUUGCAUAUACUACCUAAUUGUCACUCCAUCCUGUGUUAGAAAUAGUUGUGUUUCAUCCCAUCUUGAGCUAUUCUUAACUCCCUAAUAAUUUUUUUAAUCCUUAUUUUGGAGUGAAUCGUGGCUGAAUGUUAAGGUUUUCACUUUUUUUCUUAUGGGAGAAGGGAACUAACUUUGUAUACAUAUUUUAUGUCCUCCUUACAACCAUUUCAUGAGAUAAUAUUACUGGCCUCAUUUUAUAGACAAGAAAAUAGGGGCCAGGUGAUGACUCAUGCCUGUAAUUCCAGCACCUCAGGAGGCUGAGGCAGGCAGAUCGCUUGAGCCCAGGAGUUCGAGGCAACAGUAAGCUACAAUUUCACCACUGCACUUCACCACUGCAGUUGCAACAUUGCACCUUUUGUCACUAGGUGAUACAGCGAGACCCUCUCUCUAAAAAACAUAAUAAAAAUGCUAAAAAGAAAUGAAAUUAAACUCAGAGGUAACUUACCCAAGUAAGGAAUGGAUCUGGGCCUGUAUUAGUUUUCUGUGUUGUUAUAUAACAAGUUACCACAAACUUAGCAGCUUGAAACAACAUAAAUGUAUGAUCCUCCAGUGUCUGUGGAUCAGGAAUCUGGCACAGUGUGACUGGGCCUCUGCUCAGGGUCCCACGGGCUGAAAUCAAGGUGUCUGCCAGGACUGUGAGCUCCUUGAAGGCUCAGGGUCCUCAUCCGAGUUUAUUCAAGUUGUUGGCAGAAUUCAGUUCCUUGUGUUUGUGAGGCUGCAGUCCCGUUUUCUUGUUGACUGUCUUCUGCCCACCUUCCCUAAUACGUGAUCCCCUCCACAGCAUGCCAGUUGCUUCUUCAAGGCCAGCAGGAAAAUAUCUCUGACUUGCCUCCUCUCUAAGCUCUAGAUCCAAAGUUAAAGGGCUACCUGGACAAUCUCUCUUCUGGUUAAACUCACAGUCGGCUGAUUAGUAACUAUAAUCACAUCUGUUAAGCCUCUUUUGCCAUGUAACAUAACAUAAUCACGGGAGUGAUACCAUUGUAUUCAUAGGUCCCACCCACACUGAAGGGGAGGGGCUCAUGGAAGGUGCCCACUGGGCAGGGGGUGCUGGAUCUUCAGGGCCAUCUUAGAUUUCUGCCCCCACAGAGCACAUCUUGGCUCCACACCUUACGCUCUUUCAAUAGUAUUAUGGUCUACCAUAUUAAGAAAAAGUACAGGCCAGGCACAGUGGCUCACGCCUAUAAUCCCAGCAUGUUGAGACCAGCCUGACCUACAUGGUGAAACCCUGUCUCUACUGAAAAUACAAAGAUUAGCCAGGCAUGGUGGUGGGUGCCUGUAAUCUCAGCUGCUUGGGAGGCUGAGGCAGGAGAAUCAUCUGAACCCAGGAGGCAGAGGUUGCAGUGAGCCAAGAUCACACCACUGCACUUAGCCUGGGCGACAGAGUGAGACUCCAUCUCAAAAAAAAGUCCAAAGACAAUAGAGAUGACUAGAAGGGAUGGAUGGGCCUUUGACUUUCAGAAAUGCCUAAAUGUAUGCAUUUUAUUUAAAAUAUUGCAGUGCCUGGAAGCAGCGAGCCCUUUAUGACGCAAGGACAGAUGCCCAACAGCAGCAUGCAGGACAUGUACAACCAAAGUCCCUCCGGAGCAAUGUCUAACCUGGGCAUGGGGCAGCGCCAGCAGUUUCCCUAUGGAGCCAGUUACGACCGAAGGCAUGAACCUUAUGGGCAGCAGUAUCCAGGCCAAGGCCCUCCCUCGGGACAGCCACCGUAUGGAGGGCACCAGCCCGGCCUGUACCCACAGCAGCCGAAUUACAAACGCCAUAUGGACGGCAUGUACGGGCCCCCAGCCAAGCGCCAUGAGGGCGACAUGUACAACAUGCAGUACAGCAGCCAGCAGCAGGAGAUGUACAACCAGUAUGGAGGCUCCUACUCGGGCCCGGACCGCAGGCCCAUCCAGGGCCAGUACCCGUAUCCCUACAGCAGGGAGAGGAUGCAGGGCCCGGGGCAGAUCCAAACGCACGGAAUCCCACCUCAGAUGAUGGGCGGCCCGCUGCAGUCGUCCUCCAGUGAGGGGCCUCAGCAGAAUAUGUGGGCAGCACGCAAUGAUAUGCCUUAUCCCUACCAGAACAGGCAGGGCCCUGGCGGCCCUACACAGGCGCCCCCUUACCCAGGCAUGAACCGCACGGACGAUAUGAUGGUACCCGAUCAGAGGAUAAAUCAUGAGAGCCAGUGGCCUUCUCACGUCAGCCAGCGUCAGCCUUAUAUGUCGUCCUCAGCCUCCAUGCAGCCCAUCACACGCCCACCACAGCCGUCCUACCAGACGCCACCGUCACUGCCAAAUCACAUCUCCAGGGCGCCCAGCCCAGCGUCCUUCCAGCGCUCCCUGGAGAACCGCAUGUCUCCAAGCAAGUCUCCCUUUCUGCCGUCUAUGAAGAUGCAGAAGGUCAUGCCCACGGUCCCCACAUCCCAGGUCACCGGGCCACCGCCCCAACCACCCCCAAUUAGAAGGGAGAUCACCUUUCCUCCUGGCUCAGUAGAAGCAUCACAACCAGUCUUGAAACAAAGGCGAAAGAUUACCUCCAAAGAUAUCGUUACUCCUGAGGCGUGGCGUGUGAUGAUGUCCCUUAAAUCAGGUCUUUUGGCUGAGAGUACAUGGGCUUUGGACACUAUUAAUAUUCUUCUGUAUGAUGACAGCACUGUUGCUACUUUCAAUCUCUCCCAGUUGUCUGGAUUUCUCGAACUUUUAGUCGAGUACUUUAGAAAAUGCCUGAUUGACAUUUUUGGAAUUCUUACGGAAUAUGAAGUGGGAGACCCCAGCCAAAAAGCACUUGAUCACAACGCAGCAAGGAAGGAUGAUAGCCAGUCCUUGGCGGACGAUUCUGGGAAAGAGGAGGAAGAUGCUGAAUGUAUUGAUGACGACGAGGAAGACGAGGAGGACGAGGAGGAAGACAGUGAGAAGACAGAAAGCGAUGAAAAAAGCAGCAUCGCUCUGACUGCCCCGGACGCCGCUGCAGACCCAAAGGAGAAGCCCAAGCAAGCCAGUAAGUUCGACAAGCUGCCAAUAAAGAUAGUCAAAAAGAACAACCUGUUUGUUGUUGACCGAUCUGACAAGUUGGGGCGUGUGCAGGAGUUCAGUAGUGGCCUUCUGCACUGGCAGCUCGGCGGGGGCGACACCACUGAGCACAUUCAGACUCACUUUGAGAGCAAGAUGGAAAUUCCUCCUCGCAGGCGCCCACCUCCCCCCUUAAGCUCCGCAGGUAGAAAGAAAGAGCAAGAAGGCAAAGGCGACUCUGAAGAGCAGCAAGAGAAAAGCAUCAUAGCAACCAUCGAUGACGUCCUCUCUGCUCGGCCAGGGGCACUGCCCGAAGACGCAAACCCUGGGCCCCAGACCGAAAGCAGUAAGUUUCCCUUUGGUAUCCAGCAAGCCAAAAGUCACCGGAACAUCAAGCUGCUGGAGGACGAGCCCAGGAGCCGAGACGAGACUCCUCUGUGCACCAUCGCGCACUGGCAGGACUCGCUGGCUAAGCGAUGCAUCUGUGUGUCCAAUAUUGUCCGUAGCUUGUCAUUCGUGCCUGGCAAUGAUGCCGAAAUGUCCAAACAUCCAGGCUUGGUGCUGAUCCUGGGGAAGUUGAUUCUUCUUCACCACGAGCAUCCAGAGAGAAAGCGAGCACCGCAGACCUAUGAGAAAGAGGAGGAUGAGGACAAGGGGGUGGCCUGCAGCAAAGAUGAGUGGUGGUGGGACUGCCUCGAGGUCUUGAGGGAUAACACGUUGGUCACGUUGGCCAACAUUUCCGGGCAGCUAGACUUGUCUGCUUACACGGAAAGCAUCUGCUUGCCAAUUUUGGAUGGCUUGCUGCACUGGAUGGUGUGCCCGUCUGCAGAGGCACAAGAUCCCUUUCCAACUGUGGGACCCAACUCGGUCCUGUCGCCUCAGAGACUUGUGCUGGAGACCCUCUGUAAACUCAGUAUCCAGGACAAUAAUGUGGACCUGAUCUUGGCCACUCCUCCAUUUAGUCGUCAGGAGAAAUUCUAUGCUACAUUAGUUAGGUACGUUGGGGAUCGCAAAAACCCAGUCUGUCGAGAAAUGUCCAUGGCGCUUUUAUCGAACCUUGCCCAAGGGGACGCACUAGCGGCAAGGGCCAUAGCUGUGCAGAAAGGAAGCAUUGGAAACUUGAUAAGCUUCCUAGAGGAUGGGGUCACGAUGGCCCAGUACCAGCAGAGCCAGCACAACCUCAUGCACAUGCAGCCCCCGCCCCUGGAACCACCUAGCGUAGACAUGAUGUGCAGGGCGGCCAAGGCUUUGCUAGCCAUGGCCAGAGUGGACGAAAACCGCUCGGAAUUCCUUUUGCACGAGGGCCGGUUGCUGGAUAUCUCGAUAUCAGCUGUCCUGAACUCUCUGGUUGCAUCUGUCAUCUGUGAUGUACUGUUUCAGAUUGGGCAGUUAUGACAUAAGUGAGAAGGCAAGCAUGUGUGAGUGAAGAUUAGAGGGUCACAUAUAACUGGCUGUUUUCUGUUCUUGUUUAUCCAGCGUAGGAAGAAGGAAAAGAAAAUCUUUGCUCCUCUGCCCCAUUCACUAUUUACCAAUUGGGAAUUAAAGAAAUAAUUAAUUUGAACAGUUAUGAAAUUAAUAUUUGCUGUCUGUGUGUAUAAGUACAUCCUUUGGGGUUUUUUUUUUCUUUUUUUUUUUAACCAAAGUUGCUGUCUAGUGCAUUCAAAGGUCACUUUUUGUUUUUCACAGAUCUUUUUAAUGUUCUUUUCCAUGUUGUAUUGCAUUUUUGGGGGAAGCAAAUUGACUUUAAAGAAAAAAGUUGUGGCAAAAGAUGCUAAGAUGCGAAAAUUUCACCACACUGAGUCAAAAAGGUGAAAAAUUAUCCAUUUCCUAUGCGUUUUACUCCUCAGAGAAUGAAAAAAACUGCAUCCCAUCACCCAAAGUUCUGUGCAAUAGAAAUUUCUACAGAUACAGGUAUAGGGGCUCAAGGAGGUAUGUCAGUCAGUAGUCAAAACUAUGAAAUGAUACUGGUUUCUCCACAGGAAGAUGGUUCCAUUAGGCUGGGAGCAAAAACAAUGUUUUUUAAGAUUGAAAAUACAUACCUGACAACGAUCCGGAAACUGCUCCUCACCACUCCCGUCAUGCCUGCUGUCGGCGUUUGACCUUCCACAUGACAGUUCUUCACAAUUCCUUUAAUCAUUUUUUAAAUAUUUUUUUUACUGCCUAUGGGCUGUGAUGUAUAUAGAAGUUGUACAUUAAACAU
rnacentral:sRNA from 1 species